rnacentral:rRNA from 3 species
GGGUUGUGAGGUUAAGCGACUAAGCGUACACGGUGGAUGCCCUGGCAGUCAGAGGCGAUGAAGGGCGUGCUAAUCUGCGAUAAGCGCCGGUAAGGUGAUAUGAACCGUUAUAACCGGCGAUACCCGAAUGGGGAAACCCAGUGUGAUUCGUCACACUAUCAUUAACUGAAUCCAUAGGUUAAUGAGGCGAACCGGGGGAACUGAAACAUCUAAGUACCCCGAGGAAAAGAAAUCAACCGAGAUUCCCCCAGUAGCGGCGAGCGAACGGGGAGGAGCCCAGAGCCUGAAUCAGCAUGUGUGUUAGUGGAAGCGUCUGGAAAGGCGCGCGAUACAGGGUGACAGCCCCGUACACAAAAGCGCAUGUGCUGUGAGCUCGAUGAGUAGGGCGGGACACGUGGUAUCCUGUCUGAAUAUGGGGGGACCAUCCUCCAAGGCUAAAUACUCCUGACUGACCGAUAGUGAACCAGUACCGUGAGGGAAAGGCGAAAAGAACCCCGGCGAGGGGAGUGAAAAAGAACCUGAAACCGUGUACGUACAAGCAGUGGGAGCCCCACCACCAAAGCAUUCUCUGGUGUUGAAGGCCCUGCAAAGCAGCAUCGCGGUGGCGGAGCGUCGUUUGCGACGCCCAACGCACAAAACAAGCGGUGAGUGCUUUGGGGUGGGGUGACUGCGUACCUUUUGUAUAAUGGGUCAGCGACUUAUAUUCUGUAGCAAGGUUAACCGAAUAGGGGAGCCGGAGGGAAACCGAGUCUUAAUUGGGCGUUAAGUUGCAGGGUAUAGACCCGAAACCCGGUGAUCUAGCCAUGGGCAGGUUGAAGGUUGGGUAACACUAACUGGAGGACCGAACCGACUAAUGUUGAAAAAUUAGCGGAUGACCUGUGGCUGGGGGUGAAAGGCCAAUCAAACCGGGAGAUAGCUGGUUCUCCCCGAAAGCUAUUUAGGUAGCGCCUCGUGAAUUCAUCUCCGGGGGUAGAGCACUGUUUCGGCUAGGGGGCCAUCCCGGCUUACCAACCCGAUGCAAACUGCGAAUACCGGAGAAUGUUAUCACGGGAGACACACGGCGGGUGCUAACGUCCGUCGUGAAGAGGGAAACAACCCAGACCGCCAGCUAAGGUCCCAAAGUCAUGGUUAAGUGGGAAACGAUGUGGGAAGGCCCAGACAGCCAGGAUGUUGGCUUAGAAGCAGCCAUCAUUUAAAGAAAGCGUAAUAGCUCACUGGUCGAGUCGGCCUGCGCGGAAGAUGUAACGGGGCUAAACCAUGCACCGAAGCUGCGGCAGCGAACGUAUCACCCAAGACAACUUUACGGAGUUGACGAUUGACGGAGCGAAGCGACGUCAAAGCGUUCAUUAAAGUCGAGUUGGCUUAGGGAUACGUUCGUUGGGUAGGGGAGCGUUCUGUAAGCCUGCGAAGGUGGCCUGUGAGGGUUGCUGGAGGUAUCAGAAGUGCGAAUGCUGACAUAAGUAACGAUAAAGCGGGUGAAAAGCCCGCUCGCCGGAAGACCAAGGGUUCCUGUCCAACGUUAAUCGGGGCAGGGUGAGUCGACCCCUAAGGCGAGGCCGAAAGGCGUAGUCGAUGGGAAACGGGUUAAUAUUCCCGUACUUGGUGUUACUGCGAAGGGGGGACGGAGAAGGCUAUGUUGGCCGGGCGACGGUUGUCCCGGUUUAAGCGUGUAGGUGUGUGUUCCAGGUAAAUCCGGUUCACUUUAACACUGAGGCGUGAUGACGAGGCACUACGGUGCUGAAGCAACAAAUGCCCUGCUUCCAGGAAAAGCCUCUAAGCAUCAGGUAACAUCAAAUCGUACCCCAAACCGACACAGGUGGUCAGGUAGAGAAUACCAAGGCGCUUGAGAGAACUCGGGUGAAGGAACUAGGCAAAAUGGUGCCGUAACUUCGGGAGAAGGCACGCUGACACGUAGGUGAAGUGAUUUACUCAUGGAGCUGAAGUCAGUCGAAGAUACCAGCUGGCUGCAACUGUUUAUUAAAAACACAGCACUGUGCAAACACGAAAGUGGACGUAUACGGUGUGACGCCUGCCCGGUGCCGGAAGGUUAAUUGAUGGGGUCAGCGCAAGCGAAGCUCCUGAUCGAAGCCCCGGUAAACGGCGGCCGUAACUAUAACGGUCCUAAGGUAGCGAAAUUCCUUGUCGGGUAAGUUCCGACCUGCACGAAUGGCGUAAUGAUGGCCAGGCUGUCUCCACCCGAGACUCAGUGAAAUUGAACUCGCUGUGAAGAUGCAGUGUACCCGCGGCAAGACGGAAAGACCCCGUGAACCUUUACUAUAGCUUGACACUGAACAUUGAGCCUUGAUGUGUAGGAUAGGUGGGAGGCUUUGAAGUGUGGACGCCAGUCUGCAUGGAGCCGACCUUGAAAUACCACCCUUUAAUGUUUGAUGUUCUAACGUGGACCCGUUACCCGGGUUGCGGACAGUGUCUGGUGGGUAGUUUGACUGGGGCGGUCUCCUCCUAAAGAGUAACGGAGGAGCACGAAGGUUGGCUAAUCCUGGUCGGACAUCAGGAGGUUAGUGCAAUGGCAUAAGCCAGCUUGACUGCGAGCGUGACGGCGCGAGCAGGUGCGAAAGCAGGUCAUAGUGAUCCGGUGGUUCUGAAUGGAAGGGCCAUCGCUCAACGGAUAAAAGGUACUCCGGGGAUAACAGGCUGAUACCGCCCAAGAGUUCAUAUCGACGGCGGUGUUUGGCACCUCGAUGUCGGCUCAUCACAUCCUGGGGCUGAAGUAGGUCCCAAGGGUAUGGCUGUUCGCCAUUUAAAGUGGUACGCGAGCUGGGUUUAGAACGUCGUGAGACAGUUCGGUCCCUAUCUGCCGUGGGCGCUGGAGAACUGAGGGGGGCUGCUCCUAGUACGAGAGGACCGGAGUGGACGCAUCACUGGUGUUCGGGUUGUCAUGCCAAUGGCACUGCCCGGUAGCUAAAUGCGGAAGAGAUAAGUGCUGAAAGCAUCUAAGCACGAAACUUGCCCCGAGAUGAGUUCUCCCUGAGACUUAGAGUCUCCUGAAGGAACGUUGAAGACGACGACGUUGAUAGGCCGGGUGUGUAAGCGCAGCGAUGCGUUGAGCUAACCGGUACUAAUGAACCGUGAGGCUUAACCUUACAACGCCGAAG